rnacentral:tRNA from 1 species
GCCUGGGUGGCUCAGUGGGUUAAGCUUCCGACUCUUUAUUUCGGCUCAGAUCAUGAUCUCACGGUUCGUAGGAUCGAGCCCUGCCUCGGGCU